rnacentral:snoRNA from 1 species
AGGGUUUGCUUAGGGCAGGGAGGUUGAAGAGUGGCUCCUCUGUUUACAAUACACCAAACGGGAAUCUGGGGUCAUUGUGACAAGGGGCACAAAACUUGUGUCCUCCCUACAUGUGAAAAAAAAAAAGAGA